rnacentral:tRNA from 1 species
GCCCCCGUAGCUCAAUGGAUAGAGCAGCGGCCUUCUAAGCCGUGGGUUGCAGGUUCGAGUCCUGCCGGGGGCG